GACGAACCGAGCAAACGUUAUUCGGAAUCACUGGGCUUAAAGGGCGCGUAGGCGGGUCAGCAAGUCAGGGGUGAAAGCCCCCAGCUCAACUGGGGAAGUGCCUUUGAUACUGUUGAUCUCGAGGGAGGUAGGGGCGUGCGGAACUUCCGGUGGAGCGGUGAAAUGCGUAGAUAUCGGAAGGAACACCGGUGGCGAAAGCGGCGCGCUGGCCCUCUUCUGACGCUGAGGCGCGAAAGCCAGGGGAGCAAACGGG
rnacentral:rRNA from 1 species